UCUCCACUCCCACUGCUUCACUUGACCAGC
rnacentral:piRNA from 1 species